rnacentral:rRNA from 1 species
AACGAACGCUGGCGGCAUGCCUAACACAUGCAAGUCGAACGAGACCUUCGGGUCUAGUGGCGCACGGGUGCGUAACGCGUGGGAACCUGCCCUUAGGUUCGGAAUAACUCCCCGAAAGGGGUGCUAAUACCGGAUAAUGUCUUCGGACCAAAGAUUUAUCGCCUUUGGAUGGGCCCGCGUUGGAUUAGCUAGUUGGUAGGGUAAAAGCCUACCAAGGCGACGAUCCAUAGCUGGUCUGAGAGGAUGAUCAGCCACACUGGGACUGAGACACGGCCCAGACUCCUACGGGAGGCAGCCGUUGGGAAUAUUGGACAAUGGGCGAAAGGCUGAUCCAGCAAUGCCGCGUGAGGGAUGAAGGGCUUAGGGUUGUAAAGCUCUUUUACCCGGGAUGAUAAUGACAGUACCGGGAGAAUAAGCUCCGGCUAACUCCGUG